GAUGAACGCUAGCUACAGGCUUAACACAUGCAAGUCGCGGGGCAGCAUGGGGGUUGCUUGCAAUCCCCGAUGGCGACCGGCGCACGGGUGAGUAACGCGUAUCCAACCUGCCCUUCACCACGGGAUAACCCGGCGAAAGUCGGACUAAUACCGUAUGUUGUCCAUUGACAGCAUCCGAUUUGGACGAAAGGUUUGGCGGUGAAGGAUGGGGAUGCGUCCGAUUAGCUGGACGGCGGGGUGACGGCCCACCGUGGCGACGAUCGGUAGGGGUUCUGAGAGGAAGGUCCCCCACACUGGAACUGAGACACGGUCCAGACUCCUACGGGAGGCAGCAGUGAGGAAUAUUGGUCAAUGGGCGUAAGCCUGAACCAGCCAAGUAGCGUGCAGGAUGACGGCCCUAUGGGUUGUAAACUGCUUUUAUGCGGGGAUAAAGUGGCCCACGUGUGGGUUUUUGCAGGUACCGCAUGAAUAAGGACCGGCUAAUUCCGUG
rnacentral:rRNA from 1 species